rnacentral:rRNA from 1 species
UAGGGAAUAUUGCACAAUGGGCGAAAGCCUGAUGCAGCAACGCCGCGUGCGCGAAGAAGGCCUUCGGGUCGUAAAGCGCUUUUCGGGGAGAUGAGGAAGGACAGUAUCCCCGGAAUAAGGCUCGGCUAACUACGUGCCAGCAGCCGCGGUAACACGUAGGAGCCAAGCGUUAUCCGAAUUCACUGGGCGUAAAGCGCGUGCAGGCGGCUUGAAAAGUUGGAUGUGAAAGCUCCUGGCUCAACUGGGAGAGGACGUUCAAAACUAUCGAGCUAGAGGACGGCAGAGGGAGGUGGAAUUCCCGGUGUAGUGGUGAAAUGCGUAGAUAUCGGGAGGAACACCAGUGGCGAAGGCGGCCUUCUGGGCCGUUCCUGACGCUCAGACGCGAAAGCUAGGGGAGCGAACGG